rnacentral:rRNA from 1 species
UACGUAGGGACCAAGCGUUGUCCGGAAUCAUUGGGCGUAAAGCGCGUGUAGGCGGCCCUGCAAGUCUGGUGUGAAAACUUGAGGCUCAACCUCAAGCUGUCGCUGGAUACUGCAGGGCUUGAGUCCGGAAGAGGAGUGUGGAAUUCCUGGUGUAGCGGUGGAAUGCGCAGAUAUCAGGAGGAACACCUAUGGCGAAGGCAGCACUCUGGUACGUGACUGACGCUGAGACGCGAAAGCGUGGGGAGCAAACAGG